rnacentral:rRNA from 1 species
UACGUAGGGGGCAAGCGUUGUCCGGAAUCAUUGGGCGUAAAGAGCGUGUAGGCGGCUCGGUAAGUCCGCUGUGAAAGUCCAGGGCUCAACCCUGGAAUGCCGGUGGAAACUGUCGAGCUAGAGUCCGGAAGAGGCGAGUGGAAUUCCUGGUGUAGCGGUGAAAUGCGCAGAUAUCAGGAAGAACACCCGUGGCGAAGGCGGCUCCUCUGGGACGGUACUGACGCUGAGACGCGAAAGCGUGGGGAGCGAACAGG